CGGAUGUCGCUGGUUAUAAGCAGUAGCGAGUUUGCCGUGCUAACUCGUCGUUGAAAAAUGUACACGGAUGUACACUUUUCAACAG
rnacentral:sRNA from 1 species